rnacentral:rRNA from 1 species
UACGUAGGGACCGGGCGUUGUCCGGAAUCAUUGGGCGUAAAGAGCGUGUAGGCGGCCUUUUAAGUCCUGCGUGAAAUCCUGCGGCUCAACCGCAGACGGUCGUGGGAAACUGGAAGGCUAGAGUGCGGGAGAGGAGAGUGGAAUUCCCGGUGUAGCGGUGAAAUGCGCAGAUAUCGGGAAGAACACCCGUGGCGAAGGCGGCUCUCUGGAACGCAACUGACGCUGAGACGCGAAAGCGUGGGGAGCAAACAGG